rnacentral:rRNA from 2 species
GGACUACUGGGGUAUCUAAUCCUGUUUGCUCCCCACGCUUUCGUGCAUGAGCGUCAGUAUUGGCCCAGGGGGCUGCCUUCGCCAUCGGUAUUCCUCCACAUCUCUACGCAUUUCACUGCUACACGUGGAAUUCUACCCCCCUCUGCCAUACUCCAGCGAUGCAGUCACCAAUGCAGUUCCCAGGUUAAGCCCGGGGAUUUCACAUCGGUCUUACAUCACCGCCUGCGCACGCUUUACGCCCAGUAAUUCCGAUUAACGCUCGCACCCUACGUAUUACCGCGGCUGCUGGCAC